CACAGUGGGCAGUUGAGAGGACGCUGGUCCUGCAGUAGACUCUUGGCAAUGUUCCUCUCUGAAGGAACACUUUCAGUGUGCCGUACUGUUUUCCAGCACUUCUUUAGAGAAUUGUCUAAGCUGUCAUAAGCAUCAAAGGGAUAAGAGAAGAACAGGGGAGUGGGGCACGUGUGUCUCCAGUGAAUGUGUCUCCAAUGAAUGGCUGACAGUAGCAAACAGCCUUUCAGGGCUUGGCAGUGAGUGGACUGAUAGCAAGAGAAGCCACUGAGGACGAACAGACAGUCACUGAAGUAUGAAGAUACGUUGGUGUGGAAGGAGAAUUUUUUAAGUGUGGAGAGGUAAAGUGUUUUUUUUUAUAACCAGUAGGGGAAAUUUAAA